AUGAAUGGGCGGGCCUUGAUCCCACAAAAAAAUUAAUUAACAG
rnacentral:tRNA from 1 species